GCUUAAGGCCAUAUCAGCCUGGGUACGCCCGAUCUCGUCUGAUCUCGGAAGCUAAGCAGGGUCGGGCCUGGUUAGUACUUGGAUGGGAGACCGCCUGGGAAUACCAGGUGCUGUAAGCA
rnacentral:rRNA from 1 species